CCGUCUUAUUCUCAAUAUACAUUUUAUUACCCAAUCUGCUCCUGACAUUAAAUAAAACUCCAAAAAUUGGAAUCUGGCCCUCAAACCCCACAACAGGACUUCAUUAACCUCACCUUCAAGGUGUACAAUAACAGAAAAAAGUUGCAAUUCUUUGCCUCCACUGUGAGACAAACCCCAGCCACAUCUCCAGCACACAAGAACUUCCAAACGUCUGAAACGCAGCAGCCAGGCAUUCCUCCAGAACCUCCUCCCCCAGGAGCUUGCUACACAUGCUGGAAAUCUGGCCACUGGGCCAAGGAAUGCCUGCAGCCUGGGAUUCCUCCUAAGCCACGUCCCAUCUGUGUAGGACACCACUGAAAAUCGGACUGUUCAACUCACCUGGCAGCCACUCCCAGAGCCCCUGGAACUCUGGCCCAAGGCUCUCUGACUGACUCCUUCCCAGAUUUUCUCAGCUUAGCAGCUGAAGACUGACGCUGCCGGAUCGCCUCGGAAGCCCCCUAGACCAUCACGGACGCCGAGCUUCCGGUAACUCUCACAGUGGAAGACUCAGCCCGCCUGCACCCAGGUGAAAUAAACGGCCAUGUUGCUCACACAAAGCCUGUUUGGUGGUCUCUUCACACGGACGCGUGUGAAAUUUGGUGCCAAAACCCGGGUACAUCUUCCUGAAUCAGGCUUCUGAGAACUGUUCCACUUUGCAGUCCUGUUGGAUCUAUAUCUUGAGAAAUAAAUUAAAGAGCUUUUCCCUCCACAGUGACUCUUCGUAUAUUUGUAAACAAGUUUGGUUUUAUUUGUUUUAAUCAUUUUGAUUGAAAUGUAGAACUAGAAACAAAAUGAUGGUGUCAAAAAUAGUUUAUUAGUUGUUAAGUUUUUAGGGAGUCAAAAGUUAUAUAUGGAUUGUCAACUGCAGAGGAGGUCAGUGGUCCUAAUGCCCACAUUGUUCAAGGUUGACUGUAUGUGUGUAGACGUAUAUUUUUUUCUAGUUAAGGAGAUAGCCAUACAGUUUUACUUUUCUCAUGAGCUUUAUUUGUUCAAUUUUUGUGAAUGUUUCAGGUGCAUUUGGAAAAAAAUAUAUUUUAUAUUAUCAGUGCAUAGUGAUCAAUAUGUAUUCAAAAUAUCUGCUAUACUAUCUUAUUUAGAUCUUCCGGAAAAUAACUUAUUUUUGCCCACACUUUCUGCCUUAUAUUGAGAGUGGUAUAUUAAAAUCACCCUGUAUUAAUAUGU
rnacentral:lncRNA from 1 species